CCUUACCUACACCCGCUACGCUCAUUGGGCAUCACUGCCAGACCCCACAACUAAUACGGUUUCCUAUUGGUUAACUCCGGCACCGGCCUCGGGGCCUAGCGUUGGACGGUCAGCCGGAGGGACCAAGAACUGCCGGCGGCCGAGCUGGUGUAGCGCUGGCGCCGCCGCCUGCCCCGGGGGGGAACUGCAGCCUGUCCGAGCCAGUUCACUCAUAAAGGCUUUUCUGGGCUAGAUGCUGGGGAGGUGAGGAGUGAGACACACUGAUGAAGAGGACAGUACAAAGCACUGUGAAUGUGAGCUCCUCCCAGGUGAAGAUCUGGUUUAUGUCCUUCAGUGACUAGAACAGUUGCCUGGCACCUAUCAAAAGCUCAAGACCUGUUAAGCAUGACUGAAGUUUGAUGUUUGCUCAUAGUGUGAGUGUGCCUGAUGCCACUCAGUUGUACGCUUAAAAG